rnacentral:lncRNA from 1 species
UCCUGUUCAAACAACAUUUUUUUCUUUUCAGUCCAUGUACAAGAAGGCAUAAUCAAUUAUUUUAGGGAAGUGACGAAGGUGUGUUUUCUUUUUUCAACAACUUAAAUUUUUAAACGUGGUGAUUCAAUCAAUAAAGCUUCUAGAUUUAAUCGUGAAACUCGAAAAGGAUUCAUACCUUAUUUAUGCAUUUCUCAACUAUUUUAGGGAGGUCUGUUUGAGGUCUUACUCCACCAUAAAUGGACCCCUUAAUUGUCCUACCACACAAGAGGGGAAUGUAUUUGAGCUCCCCACUUAAAUGAAGUCCUGCACCAAUGAAAACUAUUGUCCCAAGUCCCUGUUUAAAUGACACAAUUAAAAAGAAAUUAGUCUUAUGUUAUGAUCAAUAGGAAAAGCCAUUACUGAUACUGAAAUUAACAGGAAAAUUUGAGGAAUUUUACCACUUUGGAUCCCUCAAUUGCUUCAUUUAGCAGCUCUGGAACUCCAGUGCACUCAUAACAGUAAUCUACCCCCAGUCCACCUGUAGUCUCUUUGAUCAAUUCUGAUACAGGUUUAUCAGAUUCUUUUGGAUUGAUAAAUUCAGUCAUUCCAAAGACUUCUCCUUUCUUCUUCUUUAAGUUGUUUACGUCGAUCCCAAUUAUCCUAGAAGCUCCAUUCAUUCGCGCUGCCUCUAUCACCUGCGUUAGUUGCCAUUAAGGUUCAUUGCUAAUAAAAUUUUGAUAUGUAUGGAUGUCAUCAUGGUCAAUGAAGAUGCGUACAGCUAGCACUACCGUAAGGGCAUAUUUGUACACGGUAUAGUCUUGUGUAGUCUAGUAUACCAAACACACCACAAAUGUAUAAUGCUAUCACUAGCUAAGGACAUGUAUUAUACACGGAUUUGGAUAACAUUGAAUAGUGCAAUGGAGAAGAUCCAAUAUAGUACCAUCCAGUAUACCAAACAUGCAACGAGUCUAUCACUACUGCAGUGGGUGUGUAUUGCUAUCAUUAUUGCAAGGGUAUGUUUUCUACACUAUAGUGAAUAGUCUACAGUGCGGCGAACUGGAUUUUAACAUUUUUUUUCUUUCCUAAUACUGUUCAAUCUUGUCUACUCCAAUAUAUGAAACAUGCCACGAGUAAAUACAUGUACUUACUCCAAGUCCAACAGCACCAACACCAAUAACAGCAACAGUUGAGCCCUUUUCAAUAGUGACUUCCCUCCAGGCAGAUCCAAAACCUGUGGUGAAACCACAGCAAAGGAAACUUGCAUGUGCAAGAGAAACACGGGGAUCAACCUUGACUGCAAAAUUCGCGUCGAUAACGACAUAUUCAGACCAUGUACCACAGCUAAAAUGGUGAUAUAUUAUCUGAUCUCCAAUGUGCAUUCUUGAUGUGCCAUCUGGCAUUAGGCCAGUGAAAUUUAAGGGAUAUUUGUGGCAUAAAUUUGUCUUCCCGGAUUUGCAAUUCAGACAUUCCCCACAUUCUCCCAGAUAGAGUGGCAUCACUACAUCUCCUUCCUUCAGAUUUGUGAUUCCUUCUCCCACACUUUCUAUCAUGCUGUAUUUGAAAUUUUUAUGAAAGUAUCAUAUGAUCAUUAUGUUUAAGCUUAGUUCAGAAAUAACAUCGUUUAGCAGAAUAAAAUUCUCGAUUUUGGUUUAGAUGAAAAGUGUUUUAUGGAUAAAAUCUUCAUUAAUGUCUCAUUUGAAACCAAAAUAAAUGUCUACUUGAGCACGGACCUGGAAAGGUCACAUGAGCUCAAAUUCUUAUAACAAAGGCAAAUUUAUUAUUUGUUUUGAAUUCUGUAUAUACAUGUUUUCGAGCAUGUACUUUGAUUUUAAGGAUGCAGAAUUCUCCAUUUAGGGUACGUUUAUACUCCGGAUUCAACAUGAAUACAAAGUAAAGACAUACCUUGAACAAGUAAGAAUGCGAUUGGUUCGUUAUUUUGAGGCCAUUUUCAGUUUUAUAAAAUACUCAAAACGUGUUUGGUAUUUUAUUUUCAAAAAUGCGUUUUUUAAAACAAGGAAAAUUUACAACAUAAAACUCGAAAUGACUUUUUGACAUUUUGAGUGUUUUCAAUAAAAACACUCAAAAAACUCAAAACAAGGCGAAUGAACUAAAAAAUUUUCCAAAUUAAAAUAAUUAAUAAAAUCACACAAAAUUUACCCAACUACAUAUCCUCCCUCCCAUACUCCUUCAAAAUGUCAUAAAACUAUUUCUAAAAUUUUUAAACUAAAUAUGUUUUCUAGUUUUUUUUUUUUUUUCUUUGAAAAACAGUUUUUCAGAAUGACGAACCAAACGCUUUUUCUGCAACCUUAAAAUAAUCCCUCAAAGUAUAAAACAGAAAAUGAUUUCAAAACUGAAAAUAGAAAACAGGAAUGCAAACUAAACGCACCACAAGUUUUUGAAAUAAAAUUUCAGAAUAAGUAACUCAAAAGCUUAAAACAUGCUUUAUGAACAAGGGUCGUAUAAAAUUUGUCAGUUGAAUCCCAGUAUCAAACAUGCUACUGCUCUAUCCAUAAAGCAUCAAAGGUAGAAAGAGAGAGAGAGAGAUUUACCCAACUCCUUCAUGUCCAGGAAUCCGAGGAAACAAAGGCUGCAAAAACAGUCCAAAGAACAAAAUCAAAUCACUCAAAUUCAGCAAUUUCAGUAGACUGUAAAUCAAAAAUUUCAAAAACCCAACAACUAAAAACUGAAUUCCUUACAACAGGGAGUCCAUUGCGACACAGAAAAUCAGUGUGACACAAACUUGCACAAAGCAUUUUGAUCCUAACUUCAGAGGAUUUGGGAGGAUCCACUUGUAUUUCCUCUAUUUUCAAUGGGUCUCCUGAUUUCCAUACCACUGCAGCUUUGCAUGUAAUUACUCCUGGAUUGCCUCUAGUCAUGGUGGAUACCUGGUUGCAAAUGGGAGAAUAUUGUCCAGUCACGGUUCUGUAUAAACUCAUGUAUAUAUAAUAGAGUUGACGGGGACGGGUAAUAGACGUGGGCUUGUUUUUUUGCUGUGAACCGUUGCUCGCGUUGUUCGCGUGCUACAUUUUUAAAUAAUUUUUCAAUUUUUGGCUAAAUGAACUAUUUACCACAGGUCAAUAAUCUGUCUUGUCACUUGUGCUUGUGAAGCUCGUGGAUUUGAUUAAAAAUAGAUAGGUUUGAAAACCCGGUCGGUUUUCACUUAAAGAAGAUAGCGGGUCGAGAUUAAAAAUGUUGACUUGAAACUGAGUCGAGGUCGAAUUCAUGAUAAAAGAAUAUUUAGAAAACAAAAGAAAUAAAUAAAUUGAAGUGAACUAGUCAGUUCUUAUUAUAAACUGAACGAGAAUAGUUACUCAAUCACUACAAAAUUGAAAGUUUGGAGAUUCAAAUGUUGAAAUUAUACGUAUCAAAUUUGAAUUUGGAGAUUAUUUUUAUGAAAUUCGAAAGUUGAUUAAUACAUUGGUCUAUAGUCGUCAUGGCAAGUAUCGUGCACUUUCGAUAUACUUUUAUUAGUACUUUUCAUCAUUGAAUAAUUAUAAAUUUUCUCGAAGUUGUGAAAUAUCUGAAUUAAUUGAUCCACCGGAAUAAAUAUGAAGUUCAAAAAUAAAUUCUUUAAAUCUUUCAAGGUAAGUGCUUAUAAAUUUAAAUGCAGCCACAACUUUAGAGAAAUUUAUAAAUAAAAUGUAAGAUAAUUUUACAUGAUAAUAUAUUUAAUAAGUUGUUGAUUACAUUCAUUUUAAAUUAGAAAAGUUAUUGUAAUCAAAUCAAAUAUGUUUGUGUUUGAUUUUGAUUAUUCGAUCAUAUUCGGUAGAGGUUUUAUUAUCCGAGUUAUUAAUGGCUCUAGUUACUUCACCCAUGAAUAAAGAGACUUAACGUGCGAUUUUUCAAAGUCGUGUUUGCUAUAAUGUGCAGUAGUUAUUAACAAGAUCAUCAAGUACAAAUAAUCGAAAGCUCCAAAAAAGGUAUACAAAAAUUGUUCGAAUCGAAUUUUAUACAGUGUGUGACUAUUAAGUAAAAACACUAAUGCAGCAGCAAUCAGUAUAAACACUCUUGCUAUAGCAUUAGAAUUGGUAUUUGGUUCGAUAAAACGUAUCAAUCAACACUAACCGACACCAAAUCCGUCGUAAAAGCAGCAUUGCUUUUCUCGUAUGAGACCAUAAGUUGUGGAAUAGCUCUUCGCUAGCAAUGAACUUCGAUAGAUUUUUCAGAAUCUGUCACUUUCACACACACUGCUUGCUGGAGAUUGUAUUGGUUAGAUUUGGCAUUUCCUGAUAGUCAUCCGAUUCAUCCUCCUCGUCUGAGGAUAGGAAAGAUGGACCCAUCCAUGACUUAAAACCUUCGUUAACACGUCUCUCCACCUGUGGUGUGACUUCCACUGGAUUUAUUUCGAGCAUUUCCAACCCAAUAUUCCUUCCUGCAAAGUCAUUCUCGUCAGGAAAUACAGCUGUUUUUCUUCUUAGCAAGAAGGCGGUUCCUCCGUAUAGAACUACCAGCCCCCAUGAUGCGAUUUCAUAGCACCAGAACAACGGCAAUGAGCAGCUGCUACCAAGCGUGAGGAGAGUUGAACCAAGAAUUAGUGCAAGAAGACCAAAAAUGAUGGCAAACGUGGCAUUUAGGAUGGAUAGACAGCGUACACCUCCUGUAGAUGAUAGAAGUUUUUGCAAAAACUCCAGAUGAGAACUCAUGCUGAAAUGAUGAAUCGCAAGAAGAAGACAUUACACAACUACAAAACAAUAGAAUAUAACAAUUGAUAUUCUUGAAGCCUCUUAACCCUUCUGUAAGCCUAAUGUUUUUCUAACCAAAUAAUUGACAGCUUUAGUUAUCUUCUAAAUUAUAUUUAGUGUUGACGUGCUUUGUAAAAGUUAAUGAUUUUGAGUUUGGAAUCCAUGACUGUUAGCACAGCCAGUAUAACCACCUUAACAUGUUAUCCUUGAGUACAGGUGCUACUCAAAGUAGACAAGAACAAUUGGACAACUACAGUGGACUAUGUGGUUGAAUUUCAAUAUGAUGCAACCUACAAUCUGGGUUACAAUACUUUAACCCACGAACUUCGCGUGCUCAACGAUGCAAGAAACAAACAGAUAUACCACAACUUUCACCCCUUAAAUUUCAAAAGUACAAUGCCACGAUCCUCACAUUAAGUAAAACAUAUAGCCCGAUUGAAUAUGGAGAGCAUAAUUUGAUUAGAGUUCAGCAAUUUUAACCUUCGAAAUCUAGAGUGCAAUGGCCUCUGCUGCUUUAAAUAAAUUAAAAUCCACCAAAAGAAACAUGCCCCGCAACUGUGAUGCACAAAAACAUAGACUGCAAUAUUCAUUCUAGAAAAUCCAGUAACAUAAGAAAGGUAGGGUCAAAAUAACAUCUAGUACCUCUUCUAGAAGCACAGUAAUUAUUCUCAACCACCUUCAAGCAUAUGUGUUUUGCAGGAGCAGCACGGACAACGGUAAUUCCUGCAGGGAAGUUGGAAUACAUUAUGUCUGAAACCAAAAAAUAAAAUUAUGAUUAUAUUCACCACAAACAAGAAGAGUUGAGCGCACUUCACAUGAAGUCAAAGGAACCAGAAAAUCAAAUUGAUGAAGGUAAAGUUGUAUACCACACCCGUUUGGUUUGCAGAAUUAUCUAUUAUGGAAAGGUCAGGUAUUCCCAUUCUAUUUUUACUAAUAAGGAAAAUGCAUCCCCUAUAAUAUUGUUUGUGAAAAAUCAUGGAAACUCAUUAACUACAUUUAAGCUAAGGAAUACCUUUUCUGGGAAUUUGGAUAACCUAUAAAUAAGACCAAGUUGACCAACUCCAUAAAUGUCCUCAGGCGUCCCCUGUUUUCUCUUCCACCCCCUGCUCACCUUCACAGUUCCUCACCACCCUAUUCCUGUCCGCCAGUGGAGACCACUUGACCACCAUCCCUGCACAUGCCAUCCUCUAAACACAUAAUGAAUGGUCCCACCCUUCUCUAAAUAAUGUUGUGAAUUAGAUCCCCAUAAAUUUGAAAUGACCCCAAAAAAAGCCCUUGUGGAUUUGUUGGGGUGUGAUUCUCUUGAAUCACUCUUUCGUGCUUCCACUUGAUAUUUUCAGAUUUAGCCCUUGUUUGAUCCCCAUAAUUUCCAAAAUACAUUUUUGUCUCUCUUCUUCUCAACCACAUUUUCUUCAAUAAAAUAAUAUUGCACCCAAACCCAAAACUUUUUUCAUUUUUUAACUACACAUUCUCCAUCAAUCUUCCAUUCCAAAAUGCAUUCUUGAAUAAAAAUGGGACUCAAACAAGCUCUUAGUUAAUUGACUUGGAUUUUGAUGGCUUUUGUGACAAAAAGAACAUUUUGGCUUGAAUAAAAUUUGAUAGUUCCUCAAGAUGGUUUAGCUGUGUACGGUAUUGAUCCUUAUCAGUUGAAUGAUUCCUUGCUUGGUAAUGUGGAGCAGGAGUCUGUUCCUGAUGAUGGUGAUUUUUUUUAUGAACAUGGAUCUAAGCAGGCAAACUGUUCAUUGAAGCUAGUUCCAGUUAAUGAUUUUGUCUUAGCAUCAAGUGAUAUUCAAAGCUGUUUACCCAGGGACAAAGAUCCAGUUCUAACUUUCACAAUCCCUGAAGAUGGAACUUUUGCUUCACAUUAUUGCUGUUCUAUGAGUUCUGACAUGCUGGGAAGCUCAUUUAGUAAAUCUUUCCCCUUUCCAAGUGAACUUCCUCCUGAAGAUGGUUUAGGUAUGUACGGUAUUGAUCCUUAUUGGUUGAGUGAUUCCUUGCAUGGAAAUCCAGAGCAGGAGUCUGUUCCUGAAUUUGGUUGUUUUUCUUGUGAACGUGGAUCUGAGCAGGCAAACUGUUCACCGAAGCUAUUUUCAGUUAAUGAUUUUGUCUUAGCAUCAAAUGAUACUCAAAACUGUUCUUCCAGGGACAAAGAUCAAGUUCUAAUUUCUGCAAUCCCUGACAAUGGUCCUUUUGCUUCACAGUCUUGCUGUUCUAUGAUUUCUGACAUGCUGGGAAGCUCAUUUAGUGAACUUUUCCCCGUUCCAAGUGAACUUCCUCCUGAAGACGGUUUAGUCAUGUACGGUAUUGAUACUUAUCAGUUGAAUGAUUCCUUGGAUGGAAAUGCGAAGCAGAAGUCUGUUCUUGAAGAUGGUUGUUUUUGCUGUGAAUAUGGAUCUGAGCAGGCAAACUGUUCACAGAAGCUAGUUCCAAUUAAUGGUUUUGCCUUAGCCUCAAAUUAUGCUCAAAGCUGUUUUUCCAGGGACAAAGAUCCAGUUUUAACGGAUGAACAAAAUGAUUGUGGAGCUUUAUUCUAUGACUCCCCAUGCUUUCCAAGCUUGGAUAUUCCAUUUUUCAGUUGUGAUCUUGUUCAACCUGGCAGUGAUAUGCAACAAGGGUACAGUCCACUUGGCAUUCGCCAACUGAUGAUAUCUUCCUUGAAUUCAUUCAAAUGGUGGGACUCACCAUCUAGGGAAGAUAGUUCAGAUGCUGUUCAGAAAAGUAUUGCCAAAACUUUUACAGACGCACCAUCUAUACUGAAAAAAAGACGCCGCGAUCUGGUGUCUCCUCUGUCAGAAAACAGAAGUCUGAAACAGCUUGAAAGUGACUUGAGGCAGGACUCACUAUCCAACCUGUCCAUUGAAUGUUCUGGAUUAGAGGCCGUGUGUGAUGAAUGUGUAGACCAGAAAGUACUUAUGCUGUCAUCAUCUCCAAAUGACAGAAGAAACUCUGAAUCUACUUGGGUAGAUAAAGAAAAUGUGAUUCCUGAUUUUGAAGAGGGGAGAGAGGAGGGCAACAAAAGCUUUGUAAUUUCGGGAAGCAGAAUGCUACAGAAAGAAUUAAACAGCAGUGAGUUUAUGAAGAUAAAACAACAGAGUGCAAUAAUGGAUAUCAAAAAUAUGGCUGGAGGCAAUGAUUCAGUAAAAACCGUGAGUAUUUUUUAUUGUGUGCAACUACUUUUUUAGGAACCUUUUUUUAAUGCUACUAACAUGCUCAUUUUACCGAUCUGGCCUUGUAAAAUCAUUUGUCUAGAUGUAAUAAUAUAUCACUGUAUGCAUUUUAUGAACUUCAAGCCGAAAAUAAGAAGAAUUUUCUUGUUGAAAUACUUGAACUUCGUGUACGACUUCUUAUGAUAAAACCAUUCUAAAAAUGUCAUUAGAUUUACACUUGAGAGAACUGCAUAUUUUAUCUUCAAUGAACUUGUUGCAAUGUGCACUAUCUUUUCCCGUAUAGCAAUAGAUCCUCCUCCUCCUGUCCACACAGCUAUAUGCUAUCAAAAACUUAUCUGGACAAAACCUUCGCAGGGGCGCACCCUUGAUUUUAAUGAGUGUGGGACACCGGUGAAGAAAGCUGAAAAGUUGUCUAGCAGCAUUGGUUGCUCAAGUCCCUUCCCCCAUCUAAAGAGUUUCAGGUAAAAGGCGCUCAUAGCCGAGGCAUUGUGCUGUAAAAUCUGAGAGUCUAUACAUAUGUCUCCUUAGAUUAGUGUAUGAAUUGGUUUAUUCCAUUGUAAUGCUCUAAAAUCUGAGAGUCUACACAUGUCUCCUUUGAUUAGAGAGUGAAUUAAUUUAUUCUGUCGUUUAAAUUUUGUCAAAGUGUGUGGAGUUAUUAUAUGAAUUAUCUAUAGGUAUUGUUUUGCUGAAGUAUUAUCAUGGUUAAAUCUUUGGUUUCACAAUGUAAUUUUCACUACAACGAUCAUUUUAAAUGAUUUUGGGCUUGUCUAUUAUGUCGAUCAAUUGAGGUGUAUUUAGCUCUUGAAUAGUUAUGAGAUCAGAGUUCUUGGAGCAACAUUUUGCUUGCUUUAUCUUGGCUCUUGCUAUUUUGGAUAGUUUUUAUUUUAUUAAUUGAUUAGACCGAUAUUUUCGUUAAAGAACAUUAUCUUGAACGUUUUUGCGAUCUUGUUUCCGACCUCCAUAUUGUCCCCGAUCCUACUACUCUGUCGUGAGUUUUAAAGGAUGUUAAGAUUCAGGCUUGAUUCUUGAAAUUCUCGCACCUAAAAAUUUUGGCAUCAUUUUUAUGUACACCAUAUUUCUUGCAUUCAUUUUCGGCACUUAAUUUUCUCUUAUUAUUGGACAUGUAGAGCCUAAUUAAACUUAUGGAGGAAUGCUGGAAAUUUUGUACAUGUAUUAAGUUGGUCGUCCUAAUAUUUUCUCCCCCAUAUGAAGACCACUGAGGUAAACCUUUUUUACAUAGAGAAAACAAUGGUUUGAAUUUCAAAUGCAACAUUAGUGAAAUCUUGUAGCUUCAAGUGGACGUUAUUCUCACUUUCUUUACUUGCUUUCGUUUUGUGUUUUGUGAUAAUUGCUCUCGGCUAACUGAAUUAGACCAUUAAUCCUUAAAAAUGACCAUAUUUCUAGACAACUAUUUUGCAUGUAGGUAUACAUAUGAAAUCAAUAAUACUGAUUUUUCUCUCAUUAAUUUUCUCCAUUCUUUAUUAAUUCUAAAGGAUAACGUAGUUUUUGAGGACCCCUUGAUAAACAAGCACACACGAGUACUGCUUGAUGAUAACAUUAUAUCAAUACAAGAGAAGAUCAUUCGUUGUUAUAUUUGAUAACAACUUUAACACAGCUAGGAUGCUUCAGAUAUUCCCAUGCCUUGUUAAUUUCUUCGAGUGAAACUUCAUGGGUCAACAGUUCAUCCAGUUGAAUUUCCUGUUCAAACAACAUUUUUUUCUUUUCAGUCCAUGUACAAGAAGGCAUAAUCAAUUAUUUUAGGGAAGUGACGAAGGUGUGUUUUCUUUUUUCAACAACUUAAAUUUUUAAACGUGGUGAUUCAAUCAAUAAAGCUUCUAGAUUUAAUCGUGAAACUCGAAAAGGAUUCAUACCUUAUUUAUGCAUUUCUCAACUAUUUUAGGGAGGUCUGUUUGAGGUCUUACUCCACCAUAAAUGGACCCCUUAAUUGUCCUACCACACAAGAGGGGAAUGUAUUUGAGCUCCCCACUUAAAUGAAGUCCUGCACCAAUGAAAACUAUUGUCCCAAGUCCCUGUUUAAAUGACACAAUUAAAAAGAAAUUAGUC